AUUGAACGCUGGCGGCAUGCUUUACACAUGCAAGUCGAAUGGUAACAGGCCGCAAGGUGCUGACGAGUGGCGAACGGGUGAGUAAUGCAUCGGAACGUGCCCAGUCGUGGGGGAUAACGCAGCGAAAGUUGCGCUAAUACCGCAUACGAUCUAUGGAUGAAAGCGGGGGACCGUAAGGCCUCGCGCGAUUGGAGCGGCCGAUGUCAGAUUAGGUAGUUGGUGGGGUAAAGGCUCACCAAGCCGACGAUCUGUAGCUGGUCUGAGAGGACGACCAGCCACACUGGGACUGAGACACGGCCCAGACUCCUACGGGAGGCAGCAGUGGGGAAUUUUGGACAAUGGGCGCAAGCCUGAUCCAGCAAUGCCGCGUGCAGGAAGAAGGCCUUCGGGUUGUAAACUGCUUUUGUACGGAACGAAACGGUCCUGGUUAAUACCCGGGGCUAAUGACGGUACCGUAAGAAUAAGCACCGGCUAACUACGUGCCAGCCGCCGCUGUAAUAC
rnacentral:rRNA from 1 species